rnacentral:rRNA from 1 species
UACGGGGGGGGCUAGCGUUGCUCGGAAUUACUGGGCGUAAAGGGCGCGUAGGCGGCACUGUUAGUCAGGCGUGAAAGUCCUGGGCUCAACCUGGGAACUGCGCUUGAUACGGCAGAGCUAGAGGAUGGAAGAGGGUCGCGGAAUUCCCAGUGUAGAGGUGAAAUUCGUAGAUAUUGGGAAGAACACCGGUGGCGAAGGCGGCGACCUGGUCCAUUACUGACGCUGAGGCGCGACAGCGUGGGGAGCAAACAGG